CCCCGACGGCGGACUGACCUCGCCCACAUCUCCGUCUUACUCCACGUCAGGGGCCCCAGCUCCCAACAGGUUUGUCAGCAUCGGAUCACGGGACAACAACUUUCUGAACAUCCCGCAGCAGACACAGUCUUGGUUCCUCUGACAUGACCUGUCUGCAAACCAGCGUCUAGAAUCUUUCUUUACAAUUGGGAAUUGAAACAUGGAAAACAGAAAAAUAACCCACAGGAAAUUGCCCAACGAUCCUUAUGUCUCACAUAAAAAGUAAAGCAACCCAGGAAAUCUUAGCAUGAUACUAGUAGAGGAACUCUGGACCCAAUUACCUAAACAGACAGAACCCACCAUUUUUAAGACAGGAGGAUCAUAGGAUUUGGGAGAGGCAGAGGACAAGUCAUCAUCUCUCAAAACCACCGAACCAGCAAAACACGGCAACACAAAAAGAGGAACCUGAAGAGAAAAAAGGUCACCUUCUACUUCGGAACAAGGACACAUUGUGCAAUGGCUGGGAAAAGCAACUGUUCAACAGUCAAAAAAACUGAUGUAGGAGUGGGGAUUGAAAUUGAAGGGACAUCCAAUCACUCUCUUGAAGGCACAAAACACGCCAUCAUUUAAAUGCGGUAUGCUCCCCACUGUCAAAUCACCCACAAAACAAACCCAUUAGGUUCCAGUGAAAUACGUAGCAGUCCAUGCUACUGUGAUGUCUCCCUGUCACUCAACACACUGUUAAUUGACCAAUAUUUCCCAGUCUUAUAGCCAUUAACCUAAUCAGCCCCACUACUAACAAGACAGAAACCAUGUCAAAACAUAUCCUAAAGGUUGCACUACAAGCUGAAUUAACACUAAUCUCAUGUCCACUAUUACACCUACAUGGCAUGGGGGGAAAACAGGCUUACCUAUGAUUGUAUUGUUAUUAUUAGUGAAAGAGAAAAAAACUGGAUAUGAGAAGUCUCAGCCCACAGUUCAGCAACACCAAGGCCUCCACUCUAACCAGCAUCCCAGCAGAAGAACCCAAACCCAAGUAAAGCAAAAUGCCCAGUUCACUCUUGCAAAACUACAACUGCGACAAUAAUCAAGUGCUAAGUAUACCCACUUUCAUUUGAAUGAUGAAUGCCAUUUGUAACACACAUAUAUACACACACACACCGGGCCCAAGUGGUGUUAUUACGUCUAUAACACAUGCUAUUCACACGUUUCCAGUACACUCUUUUUGCCCCUUAUAGUAGACACAGAACCCAACACACAUACUUAGUUAAAAACACAGGCCUCUGCAUUAACACCCAGAACUACACAGCUACAGUAGUAAUAUUCCCUUUUGCACAGAAUUGUUUUAUUUUUUGUUUCUUCUCUUAUUGGACUUGUCCCUCUGAAUUUGUCCGCUUUAAAAAAUGUGUUUGAAUGACAGCACCUUAUUGAGAAAUACAGCGGGUGGGAGCGAGACUUCGAGUGGUAUUGCCAGGAAGGGUGAUUCAGUCAGUGUUCAGUACCAUGUAGUGAAACAGUGACAUUAGGUUGCUGAGGACCCAGAGUCCACCUCCCUCCCAUCUCCCUGAAGUUUACCCUUUUUGUUUACACUCCCAGACUGCCCCUGUUCCAAGAGCAGAGAGCCACGCUGCGGAGCAAAAUGAUGAUGUGACAUAUUUGUUCCCAUGUUUGGGGAGGAGAGCCUGGGUUGAAGUCAGAGGCCAUAUUGAGAUGGUCUGGCAGGGUGCUAUGGUCGCCUCUUUACCCUAACACGAUCUCAGCUCCCCAUCCUAUCCAGCCUGUUCGUUCUGUUCAAUCAGCCCUUAUAGAUCAAACUGCCCUAAAGAUACCUUACCAGCCAAAAGUUCAACCUUUUGAAAUCAAGAGGGACAAAUUAAAUGAACACACUUAGCACAGCGCCACUUGACAAACUCACACACUCACAUGCAAACUUACAGUAUAAGUAGCAGUCACAACCACCAAGCCCAGGCCAGAUUGACUGUAAAGGGAAGUCUUAACAUAGGGCAAUCUCUGAGGAAACCUUUUGUUUUUAAUCAUUCACUUUUUAUUUGAAUUCCUAACAUUACUAAGAUUCAGUUUGAAAGUGAUUUUUUAUUAAGGAACAUCAGCUCAAAUCACCAACCUCACAAAAUAACUGGACUGCCUGGCCAUGUACUUCACUGCAGGGAAACAAUGUUGCCAGACGGCAACCAUCUCAUCAGCUUGAUAGAGAACUAGCACUGCUGAAUAAGAAUUAUGAUGGCUAUGGUGAUUUCUUUUCUAAUCUAUGGAAGUGCCUCUGUAUUCCCAUUAUGCAAUUUGUUAAACAUGAAUUCAGGUUCUUUUUCUCACAUAUAAGCUAAUAGUGAAUGGUGGUGAAAUGCUAUGUCUGGGGAGAAAAACAGUGACAGCUCACUGAAUAAUUGCAAUCAUCUUUAUAUAUACACACAUAUAUAUUUAUAGAUAUAUACAUUUUUUUAUUUGCAAAAUAAGCUCUGUGGCAGUCUAGUUAUUUUUUGAAGCAUGGCACAGUCAAUUGAUGCAUCUUAAAUAUCAGAUUAGAGCAAAAGUACCAGUCCCUACACCCACACCUACAUCUAAUAGCAAAAAGUGUCCAUGGCAAAUACUCUAGAUACAUGAUUUAUAUAGCAAACAAAGUGACAUUGUAGUCAAGGAAAAUAACAGAUUAGAUGUUGGUUAUUCUUUCUUGUUUGGGAAGUAUUGUUGUUGAAAAAAAUGUAUGUAUGUUGAUUGAGCCAUGUGCAAUGCCUUGGGUAGAAAAAUUGUGUUUGUCUGUUAGAGAUUGUUUGAGGGUGUCACGAGAAAAGAGAGGCUAAACCCUCUAUUUUUUUGUUUUAAGUCCACUUGCUCCGGGACUCUAAACACGAGGGCAGACAAAAAAAAUCCCAGUCUUUGUAAAUUGAAAAUGAGUUUUAUUUUUUUUUCCUUAUUCCUUUAAAAAAAUGUAUUUGUAAUGAUUUGUUUUCUAAAUCUGGGAGGGCUGAAGGAACAAUUUAGCAAAACAAAAAUAUAUAUCACUAAAUGAAACUGGUGCUUUUUACGAAAUAAAGUACAUUCAAACUCUAUUAUACAUAAAUAGUAAUAAACAAAAUUAAGUGUUAUCAUAAAGCACAUUUUAGGAAACAUGCAUUAUUCUAUUUCUCUUUUUGUAUUUACCAAGGGGGAGGGGUUCAUUAUAUGAAAAGGUUGUGACAAAAGGCAUUUUUCUUCAACCUUUAUCCCAUAGCAGGAAGAGGACUGUUCUGUUUAGUUUGAUUAGAUGGUUAUCCUGACAAUGGGAUGAUGAACUAGUGGAAAAAGGCCUGACGUAAUGGACGUCUGUGUCAUGUCAGUAUCACCAGAGAACUGACUAAAACAUGACCUAUUUAAUAGAUGAAUUGCAACUUGCAUUCAAUUUUCUAAACUGGCCAACCGAAGUAAUCAAGUUUGGGACACAGACAAGAUCUUCCCCAUUUUGGGAGAUGCUUCAGAUAUGGAAUCCAUUUUUCUAAGUGUUAGCUCAACCACAAAGUGAUUAACAGCGUUUGGAGAGAUGGGAGGUGUAAUGUGAAAUACAUUUUGGUAGGUUUAGUUGAUUAGUAGACUCCUAUCUCAAACCCAAACAAGAGGUGRGGGAGURUAAGGURUAUUUUGAGCACAGAAAGGAUGAGAGCAGGUUUAAAUCAAAGUGAACCCUUCCCYCUUCCACUCCCAAUCCGCAGUGUAAAUUAUUCUAAAUAUUUGUUUGGUGAUGUAGUGUUAGAAUCAGAGCAUCUUAAAGGUUGUCCCUAAAAAGUGCCUUUUGUUCACAGACUCCAUCUUGUAAUCCUGAGUGCCCGUCUCAAAAAAGUCCCCUCCUUCAUAUUUCUUCUAUAUCCUCUCCUUUUUCAAGCUUUUCAAAGCAGUAUAUAUAGUACUAAAGGAAAUUGGUGUGAUUUAGUUAUUUUUAUUGUUGAAUAAUUAAGAAAAGCAACAACAACAAAAAAAUCUGUCUUGCUUCUCUUCCUGUAUCUUGUCUUCUGUCUCUCUUGGACACUGGAGUAGUCUGUAGCUGCGUUACGCUCACCUUAUCCCUCCCCAAACCCCUUUUCUCUGAAUGGAGGGGUAAAAAAAAGCAAAACUUUGUCUGAGCAGAAUGCAGUUAGCUCACAUGUUAUUCUUGUCCGUACGCUUCACAUUGUAUACCAUACCGAUCUCUUCAGCUUCUCCAUUGAACAGCUAAUGUAAGUGAACAAGUUACACCGGUGGGCUCUUGGGAUGUGGCGAGGAGAGGGUCUGUGAGGGUGUCUAGUUUUUCACUGGGAUGUAUUUGAUGACAUAUCACAACGUGGAGAUAAAAUACACAUAGGAAUUUCCCUCUGAAUGGGCAAGGGAGCUGCAUGGCAACUGGGGUAGAAUAGGCAGGUUUUUAAUUCAUGUUUUUAUCAAAUAUUUUUAUUUUUUACAGAAUUUGGAUUUUCGUAUCUUAUGCAGCAAUGCUACAUUGAGACCAUUUAAUGAUGCACCUUUCUAGUGGUUGUCUGAGACCAGCUAUUAAAACAAGUGAAAAAAGUACCUGAAAUGACUAAGCACCUUAUAACGGAAUGGUUCCAGCCCAGGUAGACUGGCAGGCUCAGAUCCACAAUCAAGAGAACCAUUACACCCAUUUACUAGAACCCCAAAUGAACAAUUACAGACUAAAGUCAUAUGGUUCUAUACACUGUAUGUGACGUGGUAGACAGUUAAAGCACCUUGAAAUUCCACCAGCAAAAUCAAGAGCGGGCUUGAUAGAGGGCCUACUUGUUUCCCACAAGAAUAUGCACGUUUUUAUUGUAAGUGAUUGAAGCCAGCAGCAGUAUUAGCCUUGACAAGUAAAGCGCCAGUCGAGAAGCCAGAGUGACAGGUUUCGCAGUGUGUGCUUUGCUUGGGCAGAACGUUGGUAGAACGUUGGUCCCUACCCAUCUUGCCCUGCAGCACCAGAGAGCUGUCUCUCCCUGGCCCUCCAUCUUUUUAUUUUCCUUCGGGUUUGUUUUUAAAAGUGUGUAGGGCCGUGUUUAGUGUUGUGUAGAGUGAACCCCCAGCUGGCCUUGCCCCCCACCCCCCUCAGUGCAGCUUCCCUCCCUCAGGAAUACACCUCCCAGAGCCCAUGGUGAAAUGCAUGUGUUAAUUACAGUUUCUUUUCCAUAAUAAUAAAAACAGUUUGAAAAGAGCAACACUUGAAUAAAAGGAUGUUCUUGACUGUAA